AUGUGUAAUAAAUGAGGAUUUUCCUCUAUUUAUAGUGAGAGGAGAUCAAUUCUCCUUUCAUAGGUUAGAGUGCCACGUGUCACUAGAGGAUUGGUUCUAUUAGAACCUCUCUGAUGAUGACACGUGUCAGCAUGCAGUUGGUCCAUGUGGACAGGGGUAUUUUUACCCUAAACAAGUGUGAUUUAUGUUGACUACUUGAUUUGAAGAUUCCAACUCUUAGUAAUCAACCACUUCACUCAGGCAUAUUGCUAUUUGAUUGCAAUAUGACCAUAUUUCUCUUUGUGCAGGCACUAGAGAUGGGAUUGCUGGCUCCAGACAUGGUCUUAUACCUUGAUAUAUCACCAGAGGUUGGUGAGAUCAUUAGCAGAUUUGAGAAGAAGAUUUUCUCUUAAAAGGGAAGAUGGAUUUAUGAUAUGGAACCCUUUGAGCUAAUGAGGUAGGAAAAACCACUGAUGAAGCUGAAGAAAAUAAUAGGAGCAGAAGGCGCUAAAGUUGUAUUCUCUCCCUUGAUUGAAAAGUAUAUACUGAAAAACCAUCAUCGUUGAAUGCAGGUAAGUACCGCAAUCUACUUCUCCUAUAUUCUGCAUUAUGCCACAAAUAUAAUCAUAAACAGAUUUUUAGGUGACUGUUUUUUUUAAAGGGAAUAUUGAAACUAAUAAUCCCACCUUUUACCGGUCUGCUCAAAAUAAUCCCAUCUUUCAAUAUUCUCACAAUAAUCCAACCUUUGUCAUAUAUCUUCUCCAAAUGGUCCUUAACCGGUUUUAUGAAGUUAAUAACCGGUAAAAAAAGGCAAGCUUGCAGUUGGUUCUCUAUCCUCCAUUGAUGAAGAUCUUUCUUCAUGAUUUCUCUCUCCCCCAUUUUUGAAAACCCUCCAUAAUAAACACCCAUCCCUUUAGGGUUAACAAUUCCCUUAUUAUCCAUAUUUUUCAUAGGGUUUUUCUCUAAAUUCGACGGCGAGCCGGAAUUUUAUCAAGACCUUUCUGGGUUAUUCAAAUUUCACAUAGCUCACGGCUAUUAAGAAAACAUUGAAGAUGGAGUCUUGCUUUUGCUGUCUUCUUUCAUGGAAGUAGUUCUUCUUUUCAUGUUUUCUUUUAUUUUUUUCCUCUUUGUUUCACACUCCUGUCUUUACUCCCUUUACCCUAAUUCUAUUUUUGUUCCUGAUGAUCAUCUAAUUCUUAUUUCUUCAUUAUAUUAAGCUUUCUCCAUAAGAUAUAUAGGUAACCAUGGAGGGAAGGUGAGAGAAAGAAUCAGCAACUCCACAGUAUGUUAACGGUGUGAGUUCAUGAGGAAAAUGUAAUUUCUGUUUCUUUUUAAUUUUUUAUUCUUUUUAUUGAGUUGGCACAUAAACCUAGGGUUAUAAUCACAAAUUUUCCAUUGAGAUAAACGAAAAACCUAGGCCUCCUCUUUUAUGUAUACCUACAGCUUGAAAUGAAAAGGUAAACUUAUCAUGUGUCUCUACAUCUCAUACAAUAUUCAUUGAUUAUUACUGUAAACUAUCAAUUAUACUUGGUAGAUAAACAAUGUGGGACCAAAUAAAGGGUUCAGAGUCCUUCAGACCCUUGUUGCAGUUUACUGAUGAAGAUAUCAAGCAGGUGCGCUUCCAACUCUAAUGUUCAGAUAAUUUUAGAUAAGAAAAGUUGUAGUCCCACUUUACAUUCCGUCAAAUGUCGAUUAGAAUAGUCCCUAAAUCUUUUACUUGUUGCAUCUUAUGUGUACUCGGUAUUUGAUAGGAUUUUUCUCUAAUAUCAAUAUCCAUUAGGUGGUGAAUUAUUUUUUUGCAUUGCUAAUGCAGGACAAUGGAGGAACAUAAGUGCAGCAAUUCAAGACUUUAAGGACAGAUUAAGGUCUCCAAAGCCAAAGCCUGUUCAAGAUGCCCCUGCUAUUUCUUCAGCCCCCAUGCAUCAGGCUCCUGUUUUCUUCCUGUGCCUGUUGUACAUUAUUGGCUAAUCAUGUGAAGGAUGCUUUUUUUUUUUUAAAAAAAAAAUUAUUAUUGUUAUUAUUAAUUUUAAUAUACACUUUAUAAUUGCAAUGAUAGUUACACAAGAAUAUGUUGGGCAUCAAAGAAUGGACUUUUGAAUUUAAUGUUACCAAAAUGGUUUUCAUAGAUUAUAACAGGAGAAUUAAGUGUUUUAGGUAUUUA